UACGUAGGGUGCGAGCGUUAAUCGGAAUUACUGGGCGUAAAGUGUGCGCAGGCGGCCGAGCAAGUCGAGUGUGAAAGCCUCGGGCUUAACUUGGGAAUUGCGCUCGAAACUACUUGGCUGGAGUGUGGCAGAGGAAGGUGGAAUUCCAGGUGUAGCGGUGAAAUGCGUAGAGAUCUGGAGGAACACCGAUGGCGAAGGCAGCCUUCUGGGCCAACACUGACGCUCAUGCACGAAAGCGUGGGGAGCAAACAGG
rnacentral:rRNA from 1 species